ensembl:lncRNA
UCGACGGACAAGUUCACCAUCCGUGAAAUUGGGAGAAAAGCUGGUGGCCGUGAGAAGAACUCGGUGCGCGUGGACGCUCCUCAGUGCCGCAGCGAGUCUGCGGUCCGCCGCGGCAGCGCGACGCGCUUUAUAAUGCAGCGAUGCAUCAUGGGUAAUCCUGGGCUGCGGUGACGAGGCCGCGGCAGAAGCAGAUGUGCAGUGACCAGCAGCACUCUCAAAGCAAUCCGACCCCCCCGCCCCCCUCCCUCCCGCCUCGUGACCUCCAGCGCAGCGUCACACGAGAUGAGAAGCAGAAACAGCGUCUCGUGUUUCGGCGCCUCGGUGCCGUUGGAGACGGACACCGUUGACCUGCUGCUUCGUUUUCCGUCCACGGAGCCUCGUCUCGGCCGAUCGGGUGAGCGGCGGGAGGCUCUCCAGCUCGGCUUCCAGGAUGAAAUAUUCAGCAGGAGCUCGGUGGGGUUGCUUGCUGUUAGAAAUGGGCCUGAUGGGAGGACUUGUCAGGGCCGAUGGAAAGCGUCAUUCACAACAACAUUUACCCGUCUCCCCCUCUUUGUCUCACAUGCUACUUCAGAAAUGUGAAGCUCAGAGAAAUGCACUCCACAAUAACUGCACUCACGUUGCACUAGUGCUAAAGUCACUUUUAAUGCACGAUUGCAGACAUUUGUUUUUGUUGAAUUCUUAUUUAGGUCCCUAUGAAUGAGGCGGUGAGGACAUUCAGGCUCGAGUGAACCUUUCUAAAUCAACAGUCUGUGCCAAAAGUACCAAAGUUUAUUUACCCACAAAAGAGAGUUUUUUUUCUGAAUUUUAACUUAAAUCGCAAUAACUGUGACAGAGAGAUACUUGGAGGCAGCUGUUUGUAACUUGGAUUUAAGGAACACAGAAUGGUUGUUGCAUAGAGAUUAGUUAUGCUACUUUAUUGAUACGUGACCGGUUCAGUUAGAGAUGAAUUCAGUAAUAUAGAAUAAUGUUGGAACAUAUCUGACCUGAAACCUGAUAGAUGCAGUUUAAUCUAGUUUUGAACAUUUAACUAAAUCAUGUCAGCUAGCGCAGCAUAAGAGAAUAAUUCCCACUAAUUCUAAACUCC